AGCAGCCUCCACCACUGUGAAGUGACAAGUUAGAAGAUGAAAAUAAGGAAAAAUACCUUACUGCCAAGAUGAAUUAUCUGAGAGCAAGACGGAGAACAGUUCAACAUUGUCUAUCUUCUCAAAUCACGCAAUUUCACAAGGUGCUGAGCCACAGGUUUCCAUGGGUACUGUGGGUGCUCCACAAAUGCAGGCCCUGAUUCAACAAGAGGGCUACUCACAUACUUAAAGUUAAACAUCUGCUUGUGAAACAGAUGCCUCUAAAAGUAUGUUACUUAUACAAAGAACAUGAGAUCUUUAAAACAGAAAUACCUCAGGUAAUUAUCAAAGUGUUGUCAAUUCUCAGGGUUUUAUCACAAGAGUUGUGAUAUUUCACGUUUUUCUCAAAGCCCCAGCUUACACAGCCUUGUGAGUA